rnacentral:lncRNA from 1 species
GCUGACACGUGGGCCCCACAUACUCAGUCACGGCUGGAACGUGGCUCAUGCAUGCCUCAGCUGUAUUUCAUGUGUGGCUCACCUGAGGUUCAUGUGUGGUUCAAGCAUUGAACAUGUGUGCUUCCCAUGUGGUUCACAUGUGCUUCAGGGUGCCUCACAUGUGGUUCAGGCAUGGUUCAGUUGUGGCUCACACACGGUUCAGAUGUAAUUCAGGCAUGGCUCACACGUGACUUGUGUGGGUCACAAAUGCUGCAGGAGACUUUCACACAUGAUUUAGGCAUGGCCCACACAUGGUUCAGGUGCAGCUCAGCCAAGGCUCACAUGUGAUGCAGGCACGCCACAGAACUGGGUCACAUGUGGCUGAUGCAAGAUUCAGGCGUUUGUCAUGCAUGGCUCCCACACGGCUGAGGUGUGGCUCAUGCAUGGCUGUGGUGCUGCUCAGGCGUGGAACACACUUGUUUGUGGCAUUUUGGCACAUGGUUCAGGCAUGGCAGGCAAGUGGCUCCAGCGUGGCUGCCACGUGCUUCAAGUGAGGCUGGCGUGUGGUUAAAUUGGAUCUGGCACAUGGUACAGUCAUGGCUGGCAUGUGACUUCGGCAUGGCUGAGAUGAGACUCAGGCGUGGCUCACACGUUUUUCAGGCAUGGCUUACACAUGACUCAGGUGAGGCAGCCACGUGACACAGGCGUACCUGUCACAUCACGCAGGUGUGGCUCGUACCUGGUACAUGCACGGCCUUCAUGUGGCUCAGGGGUGGCUGGUGCAUGGUUUACGCAUGGGUGCCAGGUGUUUCAGGUGUGGCUGACACAUGACACAGGCACAACUGACACGUGACACAGGCAUUCAUAGGACUUUAUCCAUUCAUGGCAGACAUGUGCUUCAUGCAUGGGUGAUGUGUUGUCCGUGUGUGGGACACACGUGAAUCACUUUUUGCUGACCUAUGGCUCCCACCUACUCAGACGUGCCUGGCACGUGGCUCACACAGGGCCCAGUCAUGUUUCACGUGUGGCUCUGUUGUGGCUCACGUGUCAUUCAGGCAUUGAAGAUGGGUGCUUCACUCGUGGUUCCCAUGUGGUUCAAGUGUGACACAUGUGGUUCAGUCAUGGUUCAGGUGUGGCUACCAAAGGGUUCAGGUAUAACCCAGGUGUCGCUCACAUACGGCUCAUGUGUGUGUCACCUAUGGUUGAGGAUUGUUUCACCCGUGAUUCAGGCGUGGCUGACAUGUUGUGCAGGCAUGGCUCAGCCAUGGCUCACAUGUAGUUCAGGCGAGCCUCAGACCAGGGCCAGGUGUGGCUGACACAUGAUUCAGGAGUUUGUCACACAUGGUUAACACAUGUCUCAGGUUAGGCUCACGCCAUGCUUGGGCGUGUCUCUGGCAUGGUUGCCACGUGGCUCAGGCAAGUCUGACACGAGAUUCAGGCGUUGCUGGCAUGUGUUUCAGUCAUGGGAUUAAGUCGUGUCACACACGGGUUCCAGUGGUAUGUGAUGCUUCGUUCAGGCCGCAGUGACACGUGAUUGCUGUGUGGCUGACACUUGGUGUGUCACAGUUGACACAUGGCUUAGGCGUGGCUGACAUGUGGUUCAGAUGUGGGUGACAGGUGAUUCAGGUGUGGCUGGCAAUUUUCGGAUGUGGGGCUGACACAUGA